UUGAAAAGAGAGUGCAAGAGAACGUGAAAUCGAUAUAAUGGAAGCGAAUGAAGUCGACGUAUCUAACACGUAUUCAGUCGUUCGAAUUGAGGCAAUCGUCCGAGAUCGUUACAUUCCGCAAGGUUGUCGGUUUUGAUGUUGUUGUUUUGUUCGGCGACGCAUUUGCGUGUAGAGUGCGACGGGUCGGCUGGUGCCGUUGGUGGAAGCCGUCGGAGAGGGCGUGCGAUUUAACGAUCGAACGUAACCUACGACUAUUUGGCGGAGACCUGAUUGGUGCUAGUUGAUUUGUUUUCGUUUUGAAUGCUGGUGAAUUCGGUUUUGUUUUGGGUGUUCGUUGCGGCUAGGCGUUGAACGCAUGCGUACGGCGUUUAGUUGUGCGGACAUUUUGAAUGAAACAACAGUCAUUCAACCGGUCGUAUAGUCGGUCACUCAUUCGACCCGUCUUGAAACACGGACCAAGGAGUUUAUAGUACACGCAAGUCAUUGAGUGUUUGCAAAGCUCAAAGGCGUAAUGAAAGUGAAAUCGUUUCAACGAUUCGAACGUGAUCGGUUAGUUUCAUUUAGUUGGCUGGCCGAGCAACGUUACCCCAUUCCGUGAACUUGUUCUGGUGUGGAGGUUGAGCGUGUGCAAUGAGACCCGAAAGAUGGUGAACUAUGCCUGAACAGGACGAAGCCAGAGGAAACUCUGGGUGGAAGUCCGAAGCGGUUCUGACGUGCAAAUCGAUCGUCUGAUUUUUGGUAUAGGGGCGAAGACUAAUCG
rnacentral:rRNA from 1 species